ensembl:snRNA U2 U2 spliceosomal RNA
AUCAUUUCUCGGCCUUUUGGCUAAGAUCAAGUGUAGAAUAUGGUCUUUUUAGAUUCUACAAAUAAGUGAGAUCGUAUAGUAUUUGUCCUCUAUCUGACUUAUGUCACUUAACAUUUGCCUUCAAGGUCCAUCCACAUUGUCACAAGUGACAAGAUUUUGAUUCAGGGGUCACUUUAGCUCAGUGGUCAGGAUACAGACA